GCUGGAAAAUCAAUACAUAAGAAGACAUCGGUUGCCUCCUGGAUUAUCAUGAGAAUCUUAUAGCUCUCCAAGUGGUCGAUCAAAUCAGUGGAGCCAUUGUAUGACUCCAUCUGUGGCAUCUUGAAUCGAGAGAGAGUCGGUUCAUCCAAAAUGCGUCAGGAGAGAGACUGGGUAGUGUGGAAGUCAUAGUCAUUAGAAGACUUUCAACCUUUCACUUA
rnacentral:lncRNA from 1 species